UCAACCACACUUAUAAAGCAUUCCAUUUCAGCAAAAGAACCAUGUAGAACAUCAGACACAAUAUCUACACAUACCAAAGUAACCAAACUCAUACAAAGAUUUUUGAGUUUUAACACUAACCAACAAAACUGCAAUCUUAUUAUUUAUUUACAAACAAGUAACACAAACCGUUGUAACGACCCGAAAAGCUAGGUAGCUUCAGCAACCGACGACAGAUGUAAACUCGCUCCAUACCUCUUCAUAAAGCUACUUCCACAUAACCGGUCCGGAUUCCCAACAUGAUAAUCAAUGCUACCUGACUGAGGCUCGGGUUCAAGAAAAUCAACCAGCUGUUCUUCAUGUUCCAACUUAUAGCCCACGCCUGAAGAAGAGCUUCCACCGCGUUUUCUAACUUGCUUUUUGUCUUUACUUUUGCUUCCACGUGAUGAUUUGCUCCCGUGCUUUUGCUUGUUCUUUGAAUUCUUCUUGCUGUGCUUUGAAGACGACCUGUUGUUUGUUACGACAUGUGACGCUGAAGUAGGAAUUGGAUCGUACACGUCUGGGGCCCACUUCACGGUUAACUUUACGGGCGGAGCAACUCCUCGUUUCUCACGGCUGCCUUUCAUUGCGGAUACAGGCUUCAGAUGGGUCUGCAAAGAUAAAGAACGUAAGCCAGAUGGAUCAUUAAAUUUAAUGUUGUCACCAUGGGUUGAUAGCUCACUUGUGAUGCCAUCUUGAAGAGAGAAGGUUUUACUUGAAGACGGAAAUGUAGCAUGUUUGUGAAGACACUUUUCAGGGGUUUGAAUCGUUGUUUUGUUCAAAAGAAACUCAUCACACGAAUCCUUUUCCUCGAACUCAGAAUUUUUAUGGGAUGUUGAGGAGGUCAAAUCAUCUUCUUUGGUAUCUUGAAUGUUAAGAAGCUCGGUCACAUCAACACUUAGUUCAUCUACGGAACGAGCUUUUAGAACUCCAAGAGUAGAUUCAAAUGUAUUCGUACCAUUCAUGCAUGACCGGUUAUGAUCAUUAUUCUUAUCAGUGGCUGACAAUCCAAUUUCAGAGCAAACAUCCAUUGGUAUUAAUCAAUAGCUGCAAUGGGUUUACACAAAACGUUAAAAUACUCUGAAUGCCAAAAUGUUACAAGAAACCUAUAUUAAAACAAGAAUCUACUGUAUAUUGAAUUUGAGGUUCACAUAUAAAAACAAUCUACACUAGGACUUGAAAAGUAAACAAUCACAAGCAGAUGUAAAAUCAUAGACCAUGUAUGGAAGGCUUGGAAGAACAAAAACCAUAAUAACGUGCUACCGAUAUCUUAUCUGAAGUUAAAGCAAUGAUGUAUUCUAUGGAUAGUGGAUUAAAAGAUUGAUGAUUGACUGGCCAAUGGUCAUAAACAAUUCAAGCCAUGCCCAGCCACCACACUGUGGAUUAGCAAGUUUUGUGGCGUUCUCCCUUUGACGCGCCUGGUGAAUCACCGCUGAACACAAACCGGGAUUCAAACCAAUAACGCCUAGGUUAUGAUCCAAACACUAGGGCAAGCCUAUCAGAGUAUCGAGUUGUUCGUUUAUUAUUCUUAUUCCUGAAACAAAAUAAUCUCAUGCGCACUUAAAAUAUCCAAUAGAUCAGAAAAUUCAAAAUCACCAAAAAUGUUGUUCUAUUUAAUCACAAUCAAAAACAAAACAAUCAUUUACUACAAAUCUAUCAAGUAAUCCAACAUUUACACCACACAAGAUCCUCCAAUUAAAUGCACAAAUCCACUUAUAUAUACAUAAACAAAAUCAUAUUCACAUCCAAAUAAAAAAAUUAAAAAAAAAAGAUAUACCUUUUCCAGCAAGAAUAGAAUCAGAUCUGCGUUGACCAAACUUCAAAUCUCCUAUUUCUUAACGCGAUGAUGAUGAAAACGAUGAUAAAAAUUAACAGAUAUAGAACCAGAUAAUCCGAAUUAACUAUUAUAGAUACUAAUUAGAGAGCUUAAAAACACAGAAUAUUAAACCGAUUGUUAACUAAGAUUACCACGACGAUCACCUUUCUCAAGAUGACGUUUCAGACGAUGAGAAUACGAACGACCGACAUAGAAAACGGUAGCUAAAGGAGGAAUAAUAUUAACAAAUUCAAUCGAGAGCACCGAAGGCAUUGUUCGAUGCGAUUGAAGGCCUAAUUUAACGAAAUCAACAACCGAACCCUAACAGAACGAUUCGAUCGUUAAUUGUAUCGGAUUUGUGUGAAUUCAAUGGGGCAAAUGAUGGAGAUUACAUGAAUUUGAGGAUCCAGAUUCGAUGAUCGGAAUUGAAGAACAUGAUUUGAAAGUGCGAGAAAUUAGG
rnacentral:lncRNA from 1 species